rnacentral:rRNA from 1 species
AGAUUGAACGCUGGCGGAAUGCUUUACACAUGCAAGUCGAACGGCAGCACGGGACUCAGGCAACUGAGCCCUGGUGGCGAGUGGCGAACGGGUGAGUAACAUAUCGGAACGUACCCAGUCGUGGGGGAUAACUCUCCGAAAGGAGAGCUAAUACCGCAUACGUCCUGAGGGAGAAAGCGGGGGACCUAAGGGUAACUGAGGGCCUCGCGCGAUUGGAGCGGCCGAUAUCGGAUUAGCUAGUUGGUGAGGUAAAGGCUCACCAAGGCGACGAUCCGUAGCGGGUCUGAGAGGACGACCCGCCACACUGGAACUGAGACAGGUCCAGACUCCUACGGGA